GGCUAGGGCGCAGCCUACACAUGCAAGUCGAGCGGUAGAGAGGUGCUUGCAUCUCUUGAGAGCGGCGGACGGGUGAGUAAUGCCUAGGAAUCUGCCUGGUAGUGGGGGAUAACGUCCGGAAACGGACGCUAAUACCGCAUACGUCCUACGGGAGAAAGCAGGGGACCUUCGGGCCUUGCGCUAUCAGAUGAGCCUAGGUCGGAUUAGCUAGUUGGUGAGGUAAAGGCUCACCAAGGCGACGAUCCGUAACUGGUCUGAGAGGAUGAUCAGUCACACUGGAACUGAGACACGGUCCAGACUCCUACGGGAGGCAGCAGUGGGGAAUAUUGGACAAUGGGCGAAAGCCUGAUCCAGCCAUGCCGCGUGUGUGAAGAAGGUCUUCGGAUUGUAAAGCACUUUAAGUUGGGAGGAAGGGUACUUACCUAAUACGUGAGUAUUUUGACGUUACCGACAGAAUAAGCACCGGCUAACUCUGUGCCAGCAGCCGCGGUAAUACAGAGGGUGCAAGCGUUAAUCGGAAUUACUGGGCGUAAAGCGCGCGUAGGUGGUUCGUUAAGUUGGAUGUGAAAUCCCCGGGCUCAACCUGGGAACUGCAUCCAAAACUGGCGAGCUAGAGUAUGGUAGAGGGUGGUGGAAUUUCCUGUGUAGCGGUGAAAUGCGUAGAUAUAGGAAGGAACACCAGUGGCGAACGCGACCACCUGGACUGAUACUGACACUGAGGUGCGAAAGCGUGGGGAGCAAACAGGAUUAGAUACCCUGGUAGUCCACGCCGUAAACGAUGUCAACUAGCCGUUGGGGAGCCUUGAGCUCUUAGUGGCGCGGCUAACGCAUUAAGGUGAACCGCCUGGGGAAGUACCGCCCCCAAGGUUAAAAACUCAAAAUGAAAUUGACGGGGGGCCCGCACA
rnacentral:rRNA from 1 species